GUGCCCAUAGCUCAGCGGAUAGAGCAACUGCCUUCUAAGCAGUGGGUCGGAGGUUCGAGUCCUCCUGGGCAUG
rnacentral:tRNA from 2 species